rnacentral:lncRNA from 1 species
CUUUAAACUUAAACCUUUAUGGUAGUCCCAUUCAACCACUUGACAGCUCCAUUAAUCUAUUUUUACUAUUAAACAUGCCAUUUUACAAGAUAUUUAUUCCACUUGGUCGUCAUCCAAACGCUUUUUGACAUUACUGCCCUGGGAGUGAACUGCUUAAACUCGCUGCCCUCAUAAACAGAAAAUCACCUUUUGACUCAAAUCUUGAAGAGCUCUCAGAACCUCACCCCCUUCACUUCUACAGGCAUUAAUUUCUGCCAUAUAUAAAGGAGAGAACAAACAAAAGGCCACCGCGAAACAGUUGAAGGUAGAGACCUACUGGCUUUGAAGACUAUCAAUCAGGUGGAAACCUGAACAAAUCACAAUUUGGCUUCCUCAUCAAGUUUUCUCCCCAGCCUGACAAACCCUCCUCCGCCGCCGCCUCCACCUCCUCCUCCGCCUCCCAGGCUCAGCACAGCUACGAGGCCAAAGGGACCGUCCUGUGAUGCCUGCUGGUUUCCAACUUUCCGCUCAUCUUCGUCUCCGCAGCCUCCUGCAAAGCGGCUGGGAAAAGGGCAAGUUUGCAAAGCCGAGGAUACAAGUCCUGGGGAAGCCACAAAGAAGCUGCAACACCAACAAAGAUUAACCUCUUGUGGGGCAGACGAAAAGCGCCAGCUGCCGUUCAGGGGGGCGAACGUGGGCUCGGGCUGGCAGAGGCUCCGGCCAGCUGGCAGCGGACAGCAGGGCCGGGGGUCCCGCGGCCGCCCUCGGCCCCCCGCCCCGCGCGGACUCCCCCUGCACCUGAGCGGGGGUGAGGACAGCGCCGCGCUCCGGCCCUGCCCCCGCCAGGUAGCUCGGCUGCCGCCCGCGCUGCGCGCCCGCUGCCUGCAGCCGCCGGGAGCGACGAGAGCAGAGGCAGCCUCGGCCCACGGCGUCAUGCUUCCUGCCACCACAUUACGGCGAAUCGUCACCGGGAGAGGGGAGCGAGGGGAGAGGGGGAGGGAGGGGAGCAGACACACGCAGCCCCCCGCCUGCCAAAACGCGCGGAGACGGGGCCACGUCCCGGUGGAGUCCCCGCGGGACCUGCCCCGUUUGCACAAAGCGCCGCAGUUUGGCCAAGAAGGGAGGGAGACGGCCACGAAAUAAAUAAAUAAAAACAGUCGGGUCUACGUAACGCCCUGUCGAAAGCGGACGCCAUAUUUUUUUGUGGCUUAUGUCGACAUAGGGAAACGUAGACAUGUUUUUCCUCCUCCUCCUCCUCCUCCUCGCUCUGGCUCCCAUUUAUCCAAACUUGUAAUCAAAACUCUUAAAAAAAAAAUCUUCUUCCCUCUCUGUAUCCGCUCAUUUCCUCCCACCCGCAAAAAGAGCCUGCACACCCCCCCCCUUCCGUACCCCCCUUCCAAUCACAAACCCGGCCAAGUCCCAUUAACAACACAUUUUCGGGAGCCGCGGCGGCGACGGCGGCGGUGGGAAAGUUGGGCUGGAGUGGCCGGCGCCCGGCGUGCGGGGUUUGGGGCCGGCGGCGCCGGCUGGGGGGCUCCGCGCCGAGGCGAAGUUUCUUACCUGCGCUGGGGCUGUGAACGCGGGGACCCGGGCUGGGAACGCGGAGACGCGGCACGGGCGUUCCAAAAUGGAACUCUGCUGGCUCCCCCCAC